rnacentral:rRNA from 1 species
UACGUAGGGUGCGAGCGUUGUCCGGAAUUACUGGGCGUAAAGAGCUCGUAGGCGGCUCACUAAGUCGGGUGUGAAAUUUCGAGGCUCAACCUCGAAACGCCACCCGAUACUGGUGUGGCUAGAGUCCGGUAGGGGAGCGUGGAAUUCCUGGUGUAGCGGUGAAAUGCGCAGAUAUCAGGAGGAACACCAGCGGCGAAGGCGGCGCUCUGGGCCGGUACUGACGCUGAGGAGCGAAAGCGUGGGGAUCAAACAGG